GACGAACGCUGGCGGCGUGCUUAACACAUGCAAGUCGAACGGUAAGGCCCUUCGGGGUACACAAGUGGCGAACGGGUGAGUAACACGUGGGUGAUCUGCCCUGCACUUCGGGAUAAGCCUGGGAAACUGGGUCUAAUACCGGAUAGGACUCCUGGCUUCAUGGUUGGGGGUGGAAAGCUUUUGCGGUGUGGGAUGGGCCCGCGGCCUAUCAGCUUGUUGGUGGGGUAAUGGCCUACCAAGGCGACGACGGGUAGCCGGCCUGCGAGGGUGACCGGUCACACGGGGACUGAGAUACGGCACAGACUCCUACGGGAGGGAGCAGUGGGGAAUAUUGCACAAUGGGCGCAAGCCUGAUGCAGCGACGCCGCGUGAGGGAUGACGGCCUUCGGGUUGUAAACCUCUUUCAGCUAUGACGAAGCGCAAGUGACGGUAGUAGCAGAAGAAGGACCGGCCAAGUACGUGCCAGCCGCCGCGGUAA
rnacentral:rRNA from 1 species